CACCAAUAUUGUGUGUUUUGUUGGAGGGGAUCCUCAGGGACUGCCUCUUCAGAGUAAUAAGGAGGCCCGGAUGAUGCAUCCGACACCAUGGAAGAAUCAUCAUCAUGUUCUUGUUUUGUUACUCCAUUGUCAUCAUCAAAAUGAUGCAAUGUAACAGAAGAAGAAUGGUCUAAGUACAUUGUCCAACCUGAUUCUCCCGCAUCGCUGCUUAAGGCCUUUAAGAAGAAGAUACACUCUUUUGAUGCAGCCAUUGCAGAAGUUAUAAGGGCAUUGUUUGGAAAAAUAAAUAAAUAAAUAUAUGUAUAUAUAUGUAACAUAUCUCUUGAAAUUUAUUUCACUUUUGAAACUCUAAAA